CCAGCCUUCCUGGGCAGCGGUAGCUGCGGCUGCUUUGACCAGAGUGCUCUCCUGUUUCUUGCCUGGUUUUUGUUCAGCAUGCCUGUCUGCCCCAUCUCCACAUAAGAGUGUUGUUCUCUCUUCCUUCUAGCCCCAGCAGAACACGGAGGUUUUCCUCCACACAGGCUGGGGCUGCGUCUAGACUUCUUCUACCCUUUUGCAAGACUGAUUCCAUUUUAGGGCCUGAUCGCAUAUGCAAACCACUCUCUGACAUGGAUUCCCCCGCGGUCCAGGAAGACAGCCCUCGACUCCUCCAGGAGAAACAGGCUCCGUGAGGAGUGUUUGGCUACAUGUGUGUAUGCGUACCAUGCACAUGCAAUGCCUGCAGAGAUCAGAAGGCACUGGAUCUCCUGGACCCGCAGUUACAGACGGUUGCGAGCUACUGUGUGGGGGCUGGGAACGGAACCUGAGUCCUUUACUGGAGCAGCUCAGCCAUGGAUGGUGGACAUUUUUUGGAGACCCAGAUUAAGACCUUGAGCUCAGCCAGGUCGUAGCGGCAUACAGAGACCCUGUAAGCCCCGAGGGACAGUUGGCAUCAGACCGUUUUCAUCACUGAGGUACCCAUCCUGCAAUCUGAAACCAGGAGGAUCCCAGAAGGAAGAACGUCUCAGAGAGCUGUGUGCCCAGCUGUGCAGACACAAGCAAGGUAUCUUCAGUGGGGCGCCAGGCAACAACCCGGACGUGGGCCUGGUCCUAUCUCUUGCAGAAGCAACAGAGCAACAGAAGGGCGUCUCUGCUGGCACAGGGCCACCUACAGAGCUCAGAGCUUUCAUGUUUGCAGGGUGUCUUUUCCAGUGAAAUAAAUGUGAGUUCUA